rnacentral:rRNA from 1 species
ACGAACGCUGGCGGCGUGCCUAACACAAUGCAAGUCGAACGGAGAAAUCAGCGAAUGGAUUCUUAGUGGCGAACGGGUGAGUAACGCGUAGAUAACCUGCCUCUAAGAUGAGGACAACAACUCGAAAGGGUUGCUAAUACCGAAUGUGAACAGAACUUCGCAUGGAGAACUGUUUUGAAGGUGGCCUCUGAAUAUGCUACCGCUUAGAGAUGGGUCUGCGUCUGAUUAGCUAGUUGGAGGGGUAACGGCCCACCAAGGCGACGAUCAGUAGCCGGUCUGAGAGGAUGAACGGCCACACUGGGACUGAGACACGGCCCAGACUCCUACGGGAGGCAGCAGUGGGGAAUCUUCCGCAAUGGACGAAAGUCUGACGGAGCAACGCCGCGUGAGUGAAGAAGGCCCUCCGGGGUCGUAAAGCUCUGUCUUCAGGGACGAAUGUGCAGGAUGUGAAUAAUGUCUUGUAAUGACGGUACCUGAGGAGGAAGCCACGGCUAACUACGUGCCAGCCGCCGC